rnacentral:antisense_RNA from 1 species
CCAUCUUUUCUCUAAGGUCUUCAACUAAUUGGAUGAAGCCCAUCCACAUUAUGGAGUGUCACUAGCUUUACUCAAAGACUACUGAUUUUAUUGUAAGUCACAUCUAAAAAAUACCUUCACAGCAACAUCUAUGCUUUUAUCUGCCAAACAACUGGGCACCGUAUGCUAGCCAAGUUGACACAUAAAAUUAACUGUCACUCCAUGGGACUAGAUGAAAUUACCUAGGAGUUAAUGUAUUUAGAGAAAUAAAGAUGGCCCAGGACAGAGCCCUGGCACGCUCAAAAGAAUCCAGCAAUGGAGCCUAAGAAGGAGCUGGCAGGAGGUAGGAGGAAAACCAAGACUGUGUGGUGUCUCAGAAGCCAAUGAAGAAGUGCUCCAAAAAGGAAGAUCAACUAUUUCAAGCGCUGCCAAGAAAUCCUAUAAGGCCCUGGGAAGAUUACGUAGCCAACACUGGUGUGAAAAUCAUGCCUAUGGAGGGUUCUUUUGGAACCCAGACGAAACAGAUAAAGGAGGUGUUUAUUCAUGAAACCAGCACUUAGAAGACUGCAUCAGCAGUUCCAGCUCCAUGAUUACAAGCUCCUCGAAGACAUCAACAAGAUCACAUCUCUCCUGUGUGGCUAAGGCCAACUGCACAUGUAGAAUGGUGUUCCUCCUAUGCUUGGGACAAAUAAAUCUCACAAAAUCAA